AAAAAAAAAAAGAGAGAGAGAGAGAGAGAGAGAAAGCAAGCAAAAAAGAAAAUAAAUGUCUUAGGAGCCACAUCUUUAAUUCCUGAAUUAAUAAUUUAAUUCCAACUUUUUUAUAUGCCAUCCACUUCAGAAAAAUAAAAUGAGGUUGUAAAAGCAAUUUUAAAAACCAACAUGAACCAAAAAGUAAAGGAUAAUUAAGAAACAAUAGCCAUAAAUUCUAAUUGAGAGGAAUAAGAGCAAUUAAACAUAAAACUUACUUCUGAGCUGCCCACCAACCUAGAAAAAGAAAACUGGCUGCAGAAUUCUUUUUUGUGUGUAAUUUUAGGAGAGUUCAUCAGAAGGCAUACAUCUUUGUCCAGUGCUUAGUUCUGAAGGAAAUUGGUCAAUAAUUUUUUUAUUUGAAGACAUGGAAUAAUGUCCCAAUAGCAGUUUUAAAAAGGAAAAAAGAAAAAAGCAUUUUUUGAAGAUAGGUGUCAUGAGCAAUGCCAGGUUAAAAAUAGCCAGGUCCACACAUGACUGUGUCUUUCCACAUUGUCAGGCUUUUAUUGAUGCUAACUCAGUCACAAAAGCCAGAAGCUACAUGGAAUUGCCAAGGAGGCAAUGCUCCUUGUACCUUCCAUUCUGUUGGUAGAGCUGCAGGCACGCAGGCUCAAGCCACUCCUCAAGUCAAUCAGUAUGGCAAACCAUACUUAAUAGUAUACUUAAUCAAUGCAUACGUGUUACAGAUUAAACAUUCCGCAAUAAACAAAGUGACGCUGAACAGCAAGAGGAGAAAGAGAUUGGAGAAAGGGUUAAGGAACCAGUCCGGGGGCAUGGCUCAGUCUUGCAAGGAAGAAUGUUGGAGGUGGCAAAAGCAGAUGCCAGCAGAUGCCAAGUUCUUAUCAUGAGUGACUGCAAGACAGUGUCAGUUAAGACAGCCAUUUCCAGCUGCUUCUGGCCUGACCUUUUAAAGUCACAGAGUCCUCUAAUAAGAACUGAUGGUGGAACUGUGCUUGUUCAUGUCUUUUUCUGGUUGGAUGCAGUCUUUAUCUUUUUUUGUUGUCGCUAUUUAUUAAACAAAACAUCUUAUCCUUGUUGGCAAAGUGCCCUGUGAAACAUAAAAUGGAGUCUUAGUCUAAGAUGGAGUGAGUUAUGUCAACGGUGCUCUAUACAAUAGGGUUUUUUUUUUUUUUCAGUCUCCACCAUUGGUGAAAUUUAAAUAUGGAAUGUUAAAACCUAGUUUCCUCAAAUUCUCUGGAAAUGAUUGCCACCCAUUCCUCUCCAUGGAUUGGCCUUUUCCAUAAGUGAUUAGUCAUGUGGCUAUAAAUAACUGAGUUUAAGAAACAACUUCAGUCGCACUAAAUUCAGAGGUUCAAUUAUAAUUGUUGUUAUUGUUGUUGUUACUUCAAAAUACACCUAGGCUGCACACCUUUAUUUCACAGAAGAUUCUAGCAUGAAAUCCAUUAUGCCCAGAAACAAUCAUUUGUUCUGCAGGACGGAUAUUUGGAAAUAAUCAGGGACUUUUGUACGAGGAGCGUUGUAUGGCAGCUGGCAAUUUAAUACUCCUGUUAUCAGUGAGUUCAUCUUCCGUUUUCCUUGGCUCUAAACCCAACUACUGGUAUUUAAAUCUUCAGUUUUUCUUCUCUCCCACUCUGAGUCAAGUCGCCCCCAUAAUCCUUUCCACAUAUGUAAUUUUUGUUGUUUGUAAGCCAUUCUCAUUUUUAUGCCAAGAUGUGGAAUCGUUUUUCUUCUAUUUUUUUUAAUGUAGGCAUCAUAAAGCCUCAUAACUAAAUAGUUAUAUCCUUGCCAGAAGCCAGAUAAAUGUUUUAGGGAUUAUUUAUUUAUCAUAACAUAUGGCUCAGAUCUAAAAGGACUGGGUUCUGGGGAGCUGUAGUUACCACUUUAUAUAACACUUCAUGGUUUCCAAGAGCUUCGGGCUGGAAAAACUCUUUUGAGAUGUACGCAUGUACACAAAAUAAGUACAAAGAUUUUGAAAAAAGAAGACACAUGUUACUUUAGUGAUUUCUAAAUUUGCUCCUAAAAUACACAAAGUCGGUAAAUGAGGCAGCCCUUUUCUGCUCUGCUGAUUAUCUGAAAAACUUUGGCGAUCUAAAGAUAAGUUUACCAAAUCUGACUAAAAGUAGUAGAUUUGUAACAUAAAACCAACUCGUCAUUUUUAAGAAAGGGUAAUAUGAAUGGAAUUUAUUCAUUGGAAAUCAAAGUUUAACCCAGCUGAUGUCAUUGUUGGAAAAAAAAAUUUUAAGGCAAGAAUAAAAUGGUUGGAGCAAGUACCAUA